rnacentral:lncRNA from 1 species
AGGUGAGCGGCGGGCGGGGAUGGCGGAGCAAUGGGAGCUGGACGAGGAAGGCAUUCGCCGCCUGGGGGCGCUGACGCUGGAGCAGCCGGGGAUCUUAUGCUGGCAAAAUCCAUUCCAUUGGUGAUGCCUUCAGAAAUUUUAAAAAUCUCCGAUCCUUAGAUUUAUCAAGGAAUUUGAUCACUAGCCUUAAGGGAAUCCAGUAUUUAUGUUCACUCCAAGACCUGAAUUUAUAUUAUAACAACAUUCCUUCAUUAGUGGAAGUGUCCCGUCUACAACCGUUACCCUUCCUCAAAGAACUGGAUUUGAGACUUAAUCCUGUUGUAAGGAAAGAUACAGAUUAUAGGCUCUUUGCUGUAUAUACACUACAAACUCUGGAGAAAUUAGAUGACCGAACUGUACGUGAAGGUGAGAGAAAAGCUGCCAAGCUGCAUUUUAGUCAGUUGGGCAACAGUGAAAAUUUUCUUUUAGAGGUGGAAAAAAGCUCUAGGGAGAAGACAAUGAAAAACUGUGUAACAGGUGAGAGCUCUGCAUCAAAAGUCAGUGCUAAUGUUGACAGCAGGAUUGAAAUGGACUCAAACAAAGGACUUUUUAUUCCCUUCCCCAACCGGGAAAUAAAGGAUUCCCUAAGUACUUCUGCAACUCAGGGCAAUGGUACACGUGAUCAGAAAUUAGACACCUUCCCACUGGGGACACAGACACAGGAAGUAGCAAGAAGGGAGAUGCCAAGUGACAAUCACCAGGAAGAUG